rnacentral:rRNA from 1 species
GAUGAACGCUAGCGGCAGGCUUAAUACAUGCAAGUCGAGGGGCAUCAAGGUACACGAAAGUGUAUUGUUGGCGACCGGCGGACGGGUGAGUAAUAGGUAGGUAACCUACCUCAUACUGAGGCAUAGCUGGGAGAAAUUCCAGGUAAUUCCUCAUGAGGUUAUAUGACACAUGUGAUAUAAUCAAAGGUAUCGCAAGGUACUGGUAUGAGAUGGGCUUACUGACCAUUAGCUAGUUGGUGAGAUAAGAGCUCACCAAGGCGAAGAUGGUUAGGGGUUUUGAGAGAGAGAUCCCCCACAUUGGAACUGAGAUACGGUCCAGACUCCUACGGGAGGCAGCAGUAGGGAAUAUUGGGCAAUGGGCGAAGCCUGACCCAGCCAUGCCGCGUGAAGGAAGACGGCCUUAUGGGUUGUAAACUUCUUUACUAUGCGACUAACUAGAUUUACGAGAUAAUUCUAUAGAAUGUAGCAUAGCAAAAGCACCGGA